UACGGGGGGAGCAAGCGUUGUUCGGAUUUACUGGGCGUAAAGGGCGCGUAGGCGGCGUGACAAGUCACUUGUGAAAUCUCCGGGCUUAACUCGGAGCGGCCAAGUGAUACUGUCGUGCUAGAGUGCGGAAGGGGCUACUGGAAUUCUCGGUGUAGCGGUGAAAUGCGUAGAUAUCGAGAGGAACACCUGAGGCGAAGGCGGGCUACUGGGCCGAUACUGACGCUGAGGAGCGAAAGCGUGGGGAGCGAACAGG
rnacentral:rRNA from 1 species